rnacentral:rRNA from 1 species
GAUGAACGCUGGCUACCGGCUUAACACAUGCAAGUCGUGGGGAAACGGCAUUAUGUGCUUGCACAUUCUGGACGUCGACCGGCGCACGGGUGAGUAUCGCGUAUCCCACCUGCCCCUUACUUGGGGAUACCCCGUUGAAAGACGGCCUAAUACCCGAUGUGUUUCAUUGACGGCAUCCGAUAUGAAACAAAAGUUUUCCGGUAAGGGAUGGGGAUGCGUCUGAUUAGCUUGUUGGCGGGGCAACGGCCCACCAAGGCGACGAUCAGUAGGGGUUCUGAGAGGAAGGUCCCCCACAUUGGAACUGAGACACGGUCCANACUCCUACGGGAGGCAGCAGUGAGGAAUAUUGGUCAAUGGACGCAAGNCUGAACCANCCAAGUAGCGUGCAGGAUGACGGNCCUAUGGGUUGUAAACUGCUUUUAUGUGGGAAUAAAGUGGCGCACGUGUGCGCCAUUGNNUGUACNNCAUGAAUAACGACCGGCUAAUUCCGUGCUCANCAGCCGCGGUAAUACNGAAGGUCCGGGGCGUUAUCCNGAUUUUAUUCNNNUUUAAAGGGAGUGUANGCNGUCUGUNNNNCGUGNUNGUGAAAUUUUNNGUGCUCANCNUUUANUUNGCUNNNCGAACUGUCAGACUUGAGUACACGCCAGCGCANGCGGAAUUCCAU